UUGUUUGGUUUUUUAUUAAAUUCCAUCAAUUCAACAGUGAUUGACAGGUGUUCACUCCACGUCUGAUAAACUUCAUUUAAUCUCUUCAAAAUAUCUUACAAUGACAAAGCAAAAAUUGUUCAUAUAAAAGUGUGAGCGCAGAAGUUUGCCUGGCUGUGAGCUCAGGUGUGUUAUUUGACAGGAGUGUGUUCUUCAUCUGACACAGGACAUGUGAAGUGUAGCCCUGAUCCAGGACUCACAGGACCAACAUUUCAGUCACUAAGCAGGGCAAAGAAGUGGUUUUGAGAAAGAAGGCUGUUGGAAAAGACAAACUUAGUGUCAAGCAGGUUAAAAACAAAGAUUUUUGCCACAGCAAGAAACAGCUCUUCCAUUACAGCUACUACAAAACAGACUGCCCAGACGCCAGCUAGUGUAACAGAUAUCACAAUGCACUGCCGUAUUAUACAUGAACCGUGUCCCAGAGCCGUGACUCUUUGUUGCAUUAGACUGGCGCUUACAUUCCAAAGAAGUAAUACAGUUAUCGUCUUGUAUCCACUACAUGCAUACUCAGAAAUUAAGUGUAUAUACAGACAGCUGACAAAAUAAAGGAAAAACCAACAUAAAUGUCUCAGUAAGGUGUUGGACCACCAGAACAGUUUUACUGCUCGUUGGCAUUGAUUCUCCAAAUGUCAGGAACUCUACUGGACGGAUAGGGAACCGUCCUGUUCCCUCAUUUGGUGUUUUGAUGAUGGUGAUGGAGUUGAGCUGAAGUCUGGUGACUAUGAAGGCUGUAGCAUGAUUUACAUUAUUUUCAUUAUUCCCCUUGUGCCCUGUGGAUGGAGGCACCGUCAUCCUGGAAGAGAACAUUUACAUCAGGACAGAAAUGUUUCAUCCAAACUGAGGGGAUCAAUCAGAACAGUUUUGUACCGAUGAGCAGUGACUGUUCCCUCUGAGGGAACCAUGUCAGCAAAACGUCCCCCAAGGGACAAGGGCUCAGGUUUUUCCAUUAAUUUGACAACAGUCUAUAAUAAAUAUUCAUAUUUAUUAUGGGAAUAUACUUCUUUCACUCACUUUUGUGGGAAAUUCAUGUCAUAUUGGAGAUAUCAUAAUUAUGAGAACUCGUAUACGGCAAACGUUAAUAUUCUCACACCAACACUUUUUUUUUUUUUUAAACCAAAAAAAGACCAACAGUUGGGAAGCAUUUUGCACCGAAAGUUGACACAACAGUUAAAAACUAGUGUUAUGCUGGAACAAAGUUGCUGCUGCACUGCUAUCUUAAAAUGGGUAACAACACGAGGCUGUGGGCUUUCAAAUGAUGCAAGUUUGUCAAAUUGGAUUUCGAACGGUGCGAUACCAUUUAAAAAACAGCAGCAGAAUUUCCACUCAGCCUAUAUUCAGGCCAGUGAAUGUGACGGAGAUAGACUCAGGCUGUGUCCACUUGGAAGGCGUAUUAGCAGCUCUGUCUGUUGACAUUAGAGGUGUUCAGAAGCGGCACUGAGCUGUAGGGAACCCAGGAAGUACUCAGAGACCAACACCUGAUCUCUGCAGCUCCAUAAGAUGUGAAAUGGAACAAUUAACUAUUACACAUUAUUACAUAUUGUACAUUAAUGGGUGUAUUGCGCAAGUAAAACAUGAGCAGACAGUUGGUUAAAAUAGCAGCUUAUCUGUCAGACACGCGAGAUAGACGAUUGAAGAACACAGCUACCUCUGACCUUAUCUCCAUCGUGACUUGCAUCUUGUAGGUGAACGCUCACUAGUUAUUAAUAUUGAAACCUUUAUUAUCUAUACCAUCCAUCCUCUGCGAUGGGGACACAGUAUUUGUAUGUAAAUGCGAUACAGUGACUUCUCUUUGCUGGCAGCACUGAGCGUACUCUUGGUUUUUUUUCAUUUGUAACCAUCUGGUUUCCAUCACUCUUCUAAGCACAGCUCAGUGACUGACAUGUCAGAGAUAGCAAAGCAGUACACUGGUACAUCACAUGAUGGUCCUGAAUCAGGGCUUUGUAAAGUGGUGUAUUUGACUGAUGACCAAAUAUUCCAAAGGAGACGGUUCCUUUUCCAGAUGGCUCCGCUACCAGACAGAAUGGAGCUGACCCACGUCGUAUACCAGCUUUUGCUUACACAAAAUCACAAACAAUAGGCCAAUGACAAACAUACAAUUAUCACUAGCACACCAACUGUAUUAACCUGUAAGUAUAUCACAUCUUUCCAGUGAUUGAAGGAAACUGAUGCUGAAUCGAGAGCUGAAAAAACUGAGGCCAUCACAGCAAUUUACAUGUCAAACAAUCAGGCUCUUGAAAACAGAGCACAUCCAGUCAAAUGUACAUCAGCCUGUUCAUCCCCUGUUGAUCCUAUACAGUAUUUACACAUGUGCAAAGGAAUUUAAUACAACAAAUCAGAGGGAGAAGUCUCCAGACCCCAGACCUAGCAUUUGUUUGGCAAAUGUCUCAAACCUCACAGGAAGCAAAGUGCCUUCCUCCUCCUCAUCCUCCCCCUCGUCUAGUAGGGUAGAAGCAAGAAAUUUGGCCGGAAAUGACUCUACCCAUCAUCCUCUGCUCUGCUUCGAGCUCUGAGGAUAUGGGUGGCCUACUUUGAGUCCAAGGUUUGCUGCUCGCGUACAGAAAGCAACAUUCUUGAAGCGACAUUGUCCGAAGCAGCGCAAGAAGUCCUGCAGUAAAGACAGGCGCUGUAAUACUGAUUUAGUGGUAUUGCUAUUCCUACCAAAGCACAGCGCUACGGGUUCAUCCAACGCCAUGCAGCUCAACCACAGCUUCUGCCAAUUCUGUGUUUGAGUGCAAUAUCAGUGAGGCCACUCUAGUGUCAAAAAAGAAAGUGAAGGCAAAUCUCAAUUGCAUCAUGACAGGAAAUCAAACUAUUACAGCUACAGGGGGGAAUUAAAGGCCAUCUCGCAGAUAAAUGUUGGCAACAAGUCAAGGGAAAUUUGAUUUUCUGCCAGCUUAAGAGCAGAGAGGCAGCCAA